CCUACGGGAGGCAGCAGUGAGGAAUAUUGGUCAAUGGUCGGGAGACUGAACCAGCCAAGCCGCGUGAGGGAGGAAGGUACAGAGUAUCGUAAACCUCUUUUGUCAGGGAACAAAGACUGGGACGCGUCCCCGGAUGAGUGUACCUGAAGAAAAAGCAUCGGCUAACUCCGUGCCAGCGGCACCGGUAAUACGGAGGUUGCGAGCGUUAUCCGGAUUUAUGGGGUUAAAAGGGUGCGCAGGCGGUCGGUAAAGUCAGCGGUCAAAGCCCGGGGCCAACCCCCGCCCCGCCGUUGAAACUGGCAGUCUCGAGUUGGAGAGAAGUAUGCGGAAUGCGCGGUGUAGCGGUGAAAUGCAUAGAUAUCGCGCAGAACUCCGGUUGCGAAGACAGCAUGCCGGCUCCACACUGACGCUGAGGCACGAAAGCGUGGGUAUCGAACAGGAUUAGAUACCCGUGUAGUC
rnacentral:rRNA from 1 species